CCGACAUCACCGUCGUCAAACUGUUUUGGUCGCUCUGAGAACACUGCGAUAGAGUUCGAUACAGAGCCGAAGACCGAAGCGCGCAUGAGAUGGAUGCCUGACUUUGACUACGCAGGCAAUAUAACAUUCUUGGCCACAAUAGUCCAGUCUGGGGAGAUAUUCUGGCUAAGAGAGAAGGGAGAUUCAAUCUCUGUAUACAACCCGUGGUAGAACUUCACACAUUGAUUUAGUGCAUGUUUUGUAUAUUUUCUUUUCUGUAAGUCAUACUGUGUUAUUGUUUCAAAACCACUAUGAAAAUAAAGCUGAGCGAAUUCUGCCAACACACAUUAACAAGGAAGAAAUC